UACAGAGGGUGCGAGCGUUGUCCGGAAUCAUUGGGCGUAAAGGGCGCGUAGGUGGCCCGGUCAGCGUGCGGUGAAAGCUCGGGGCUCAACCCCGAGUCGGCCGUGCGAACUGCUGGGCUCGAGCACUGUAGAGGCAGGCGGAAUUCCGGGUGUAGCGGUGGAAUGCGUAGAGAUCCGGAAGAACACCGGUGGCGAAGGCGGCCUGCUGGGCAGUGGCUGACACUGAGGCGCGACAGCGUGGGGAGCAAACAGG
rnacentral:rRNA from 1 species